GUGCCAGCCGCCGCGGUAAUACGUAGGUGGCAAGCGUUGUCCGGAUUUACUGGGCGUAAAGGGAGCGUAGGUGGAUAUUUAAGUGGGAUGUGAAAUACUCGGGCUUAACCUGGGUGCUGCAUUCCAAACUGGAUAUCUAGAGUGCAGGAGAGGAAAGUAGAAUUCCUAGUGUAGCGGUGAAAUGCGUAGAGAUUAGGAAGAAUACCAGUGGCGAAGGCGACUUUCUGGACAAUAACUGACGCUGAGGCUCGAAAGCGUGGGGAGCAAACAGGAUUAGAUACCCUGGUAGUCCACGCCGUAAACGAUGGGUACUAGAUGUAGGGGGUAUCGACUCCCCCUGUGCCGCUGUUAACACAAUAAGUACCCCGCCUGGGGAGUACGGUCGCAAGAUUAAAACUCAAAGGAAUUGACGGGGGCCCCGCACAAGCAGCGGAGCAUGUGGUUUAAUUCGAAGCAACGCGAAGAACCUUACCUAGACUUGACAUCUCCUGCAUUACUCUUAAUCGAGGAAGUUCUCCCUUCGGGGAGGACAGGAAGACAGGUGGUGCAUGGUCGCC
rnacentral:rRNA from 1 species